UACGUAGGGUGCAAGCGUUGUCCGGAAUUAUUGGGCGUAAAGAGCUCGUAGGCGGUCUGUCGCGUCGGAUGUGAAAAUCCAGGGCUCAACCCUGGACCUGCAUUCGAUACGGGCAGACUAGAGUUCGGUAGGGGAGACUGGAAUUCCUGGUGUAGCGGUGAAAUGCGCAGAUAUCAGGAGGAACACCGGUGGCGAAGGCGGGUCUCUGGGCCGAAACUGACGCUCAUGCACGAAAGCGUGGGGAGCAAACAGG
rnacentral:rRNA from 1 species